GCUGAUAUAGCUUAGAAGGUUAGAGCACAUCCUUGGUAAGGAUGAGGUCCCCAGUUCAAUUCUGGGUAUCAGCA
rnacentral:tRNA from 4 species